CAAAGUUAAUAAGGGCGCACGGUGGAUGCCUUGGCAUUAAGAGCCGAAGAAGGACGUGACUAACGACGAUAUUCUAGGGGGAGCAGUAAGUACGCAUUGAUCCCUAGGUCUCCGAAUGGGGAAACCCACUAUGUUAUGCAUAGUAUCCGUAAGUGAAUACAUAGCUUACGAGAAGGUAACGCAGAGAACUGAAACAUCUAAGUACCUGCAGGAAGAGAAAGUAAAAACGAUUUCCUAAGUAGCGGCGAGCGAACGGGAAACAGGCCAAACCAAGAAGCUUGCUUCUUGGGGUUGUAGGACUGCAACGUGGACUUAAAGUCUAUAGAAGAAUUACCUGGGAAGGUAAGCCAAAGAGAGUAAUAGCCUCGUAUUUGAAAUAGACUUUAUACCUAGCAGUAUCCUGAGUAGGGCUGGACACGCGAAAUCCAGUUUGAAUCCGGGAGGACCAUCUCCCAAGCCUAAAUACUCCUUAAUGACCGAUAGUGAACCAGUACCGUGAGGGAAAGGUGAAAAGAACCCCGGGAGGGGAGUGAAAUAGCACCUGAAACCGUGUGCCUACAAGAAGUUCGAGCCCGUCAAUGGGUGAGAGCGUGCCUUUUGUAGAAUGAACCGGCGAGUUACGUUAUGAUGCGAGGUUAAGCUGAAGAGGCGGAGCCGUAGCGAAAGCGAGUCUGAAUAGGGCGCUUUAGUAUCAUGAUGUAGACCCGAAACCUAGUGACCUAUCCAUGAGCAGGUUGAAGGUGCGGUAAGACGCACUGGAGGACCGAACCAGGACACGUUGAAAAGUGUUUGGAUGACUUGUGGAUAGCGGAGAAAUUCCAAACGAACUGGGAGAUAGCUGGUUCUCUCCGAAAUAGCUUUAGGGCUAGCGUCGCAAUUUAAGUGUAUUGGAGGUAGAGCACUGUUUGGAUGAGGGGCCCAUCUCGGGUUACCAAUUUCAGAUAAACUCCGAAUGCUAAUACACAUGUGCGGCAGUCAGACUGCGAGUGCUAAGAUCCGUAGUCGAAAGGGAAACAGCCCAGACCACCAGCUAAGGUCCCAAAAUAUAUGUUAAGUGGAAAAGGAUGUGGGGUUGCACAGACAACUAGGAUGUUAGCUCAGAAGCAGCUAUCAUUCAAAGAGUGCGUAAUAGCUCACUAGUCGAGUGACCCUGCGCCGAAAAUGUACCGGGGCUAAACAUAUUACCGAAGCUGUGGAUUUAAUAUUAAUUAAAUGGUAGGAGAGCGUUGUAAUCAGCGAUGAAGGUAUACCGUGAGGGGUGCUGGAGCGAUUACAAGUGAGAAUGCCGGUAUGAGUAGCGCAAGAUAAGUGAGAAUCUUAUCCACCGUAAGACUAAGGUUUCCAGGGGAAGGCUCGUCCGCCCUGGGUUAGUCGGGACCUAAGGCGAGGCCGAAAGGCGUAGUCGAUGGACAACAGGUUGAUAUUCCUGUACUAGUAUUGUUAGUGAUGGAGGGACGCAGUAGGCUAAAGGGAGCCAGUUAAUGGAUUCUGGUCUAAGCAGUGAGGUGUGGAAUGUGUCAAAUGCAUUUUCCUUUAACAUUGAGCUGUGAUGGGGAAGCAACUACGGUUGCGAAGCCCUUGAUGUCACACUGCCAAGAAAAUCUUCUAGCGUUUAAUUCAAUACUACCCGUACCGCAAACCGACACAGGUAGUCGAGGCGAGUAGCCUCAGGUGAUCGAGAGAACUCUCGUUAAGGAACUCGGCAAAAUGACCCCGUAACUUCGGGAGAAGGGGUGCUGUAGAAAUACAGCCGCAGUGAAAAGAUCCAAGCAACUGUUUAUCAAAAACACAGCUCUCUGCUAAACCGCAAGGUGAUGUAUAGGGGGUGACGCCUGCCCGGUGCUGGAAGGUUAAGAGGAGGGGUUAGCUUAGGCGAAGCUCUGAAUUGAAGCCCCAGUAAACGGCGGCCGUAACUAUAACGGUCCUAAGGUAGCGAAAUUCCUUGUCGGGUAAGUUCCGACCCGCACGAAAGGCGUAAUGAUUUGGAUACUGUCUCAACGAGAGACUCGGUGAAAUUUUAGUACCUGUGAAGAUGCAGGUUACCCGCGACAGGACGGAAAGACCCCAUGGAGCUUUACUGCAGAUUGAUAUUGAGUACCUGUGAAGCAUGUAC
rnacentral:rRNA from 1 species